rnacentral:rRNA from 1 species
AGAGUUUGAUCCUGGCUCAGGAUGAACGCUAGCUACAGGCUUUAACACAUGCAAGUCGAGGGGCAUCAGUUUUGGUUUUGCUUGCAAACCAAAGCUGGCGACCGGCGCACGGGUGAGUAACACGUAUCCAACCUGCCUCAUACUCGGGGAUAGCCUUUCGAAAGAAAGGUUAAUAUCCGAUAGCAUAUAUUUCCCGCAUGGGUUUUAUAUUAAAGAAAUUCGGUAUGAGAUGGGGAUGCGUUCCAUUAGUUUGUUGGCGGGGUAACGGCCCACCAAGACUACGAUGGAUAGGGGUUCUGAGAGGAAGGUCCCCCACAUUGGAACUGAGACACGGUCCAAACUCCUACGGGAGGCAGCA